rnacentral:rRNA from 1 species
UACGUAGGGCGCAAGCGUUGUCCGGAAUUAUUGGGCGUAAAGAGCUCGUAGGCGGCCUGUCGCGUCUGCUGUGAAAUCCCGGGGCUUAACCCCGGGCGUGCAGUGGAUACGGGCUGGCUGGAGGCAGGCAGGGGAGAACGGAAUUCCCGGUGUAGCGGUGAAAUGCGCAGAUAUCGGGAGGAACACCGGUGGCGAAGGCGGUUCUCUGGGCCUGUUCUGACGCUGAGGAGCGAAAGCGUGGGGAGCGAACAGG